rnacentral:lncRNA from 1 species
UUGAUAAUAACAUUUUCUCCAAGUAUUCAAUUUAUUCCUUGGCUUUUGAAAUACAAUUCUGAUAGUACAUUUGAAAGAAAAGAGUAAAAUAGUUCAAUAACAAAGCUAACUAAAAUAAGUUUUUGUUAAAAGAAGGUAAUACUUAUUUUGUUUUUACAGGUUCAAGGAAAAGUCAGUGGAAGUCGUUAUCCAUGUCAACAUUGAACCAAAAGAAAAAAUACACUGACAAUCAAUGAAAAGAUUCAAGCGGUUGACACUGAAUUAUCAGCUUGACUAUUUAAAUCAGUAUAUCUAGGAUCAAGUAAUAAAGCCCCAUAUUAUAGUUUGAGACACAGUGUAGAUAAGUACCCAUUUUGUAUAUGACAUCAAUAUUAUCUCU